rnacentral:misc_RNA from 1 species
CAAAUUCACCCGUACCCUCCGGAAAUCACGUCCGGACGCUGCGGGAAUCGGUGUAAAUCCCGGCAAAUUGACCCACUACCCCCAUACAAACAAAUAUACAUGUCGAAACUCGGAGCUCGCUUCAAGUCCUCGACUUUCGCUGUACGCAGCAUUACAUCAUCUCGCGCAUCUAGGCGCUUUAACACCGUUGGAGUCCUGCACUUCUUCGGUACUGAAACAACACCCAAGGUGGUUAAGGAAUUUUCGCUCCUCAGACCGAUAGUCCCUCUACGGAAAUCCUGUUUUCCGUUUUCUGUUCGCGCUGCUGUUCGCGCGAUUAAAGCUGCCGGACGUCCCAUUGCGUCCGCGCUCUGGAUGCCUCUGUGGCCUCCCUGUUAUCGACACAUCUGGUGUCAUACGUCCGCUCUGUUCGCGGGCAUUUGGAGGUAUUCUCUGUGUAAACCUCCCCUUACUGCCGCCGCCAAGAAGUCCAUUCGCAAGGCGAAGAAAGAUUCUGCUUUCUUUCUUAGCCGGGCUUCUUCACUCUUCUCACGGGAAGUCCCCUGCGGCACGCGUCAUAGACUUCGUAGGCGCGUUAUGAAACGAGUAGACCCUACCAUGCACGAGAGUCCCCAAGACGAGAUCAAACUUAAGGGACGCCGACAUGGCAAGAAUUCUGACCUCCCGUAUAUGGGGGAAGCGGCGUUGGAUGAUAUCCUUCGCUGGAUUGAGGGGGUAAAUCCCCCGCCGUCGAUGGUCGCCAUUCCGGUGCCCAUCUCUUUCGGCGCCGUGCCCACAACGGCAUGGUGCUCUCCUGCUGACGCGGCUGUUUUGCGGUGUCGUUUAGACUACCACGCCGCUGAGACUUCCUUUCGUGACGAAAGGAAGCACGUGAGAUACGUCUAUAAUGACGUGUCUUCUGCUGCCAACCGUCCUCGUACGUUUCUCCGCAAGUGCGGGCGUGUUUUCAGCGGUUCUGCGCUGGGUGUUGAGGUCCCGAGCACUAGGGAUCGCCAUACCGCUUUCGUGAGAUCUACUCACGCUAGCGUUUUCUUCUCCCAGUUCGCCGUUCGCAUGUUCCGUCCUGGGCGGAAUAAUUUCUUCACUAGCGUCGUUAGUGGGCGGCGCGUUAGUUACUUUAGGCCCGGACCUAAUGGUACGUGUCUGUUUUAGAAAUUGAGAAAUUGUCGGUUUACUCGUGACAAGCUACUCUGUACCAGCGCAACAGAUACCAUGGGCUUCUUCGUUAUGAGGUACAUGAGUUCUAGUCACACCAGUUUCGAGUCCGUAAUGCGAACGGAGUUGAAAUUAGUGGUUAAAGCGGUACUGUCGGAUUUAUCCCGCGCGCAUAAACUAGACUUUAGCGAGCGAGCCUUUGCAGCUUACGGUAUCCUUUUACAAAAGGGUACUGUAGCGACUGUUUGCGGUCAGUUUGACAUUAAUUUAGUUUCUCCAUCUUGCGUGUAGGUUAAUACGCUUCUCAGAACGUGUGGUUGUAUUAACUAACUUUAAUUCGAACAAAUUAUUGUUAAGAGUCUGCGAGUUACGAUGGACGAUACUAGCGGACAAACUUUCAUUUCUGUGAACCUUUCUGACGAAAGCAACACAGCUAGCACUGAAGUCAAAACCGUAAGUUUGGAAGCGGAUCGCUUGGAAUUUUUACGGAAAAUGAAUCCCUUUAUUAUCGACGCUUUGAUACGGAAAACUAGUUAUCUGGGUGCCUUUCGCGCGAGAAUAAUAGGAGUGUGCGUGGAUUGUGGUAGAAAACACGAUAAGGCAUCGAGGACUGAACGUAAGUGUAAAGUCAACAACACACAAUCUCAGAACGAGGUGGCGCAUAUGUUAAUGCACGAUCCCGUGAAAUAUUUAAAUAAAAGAAAAGCUAGAGCUUUUUCUAACGCAGAGAUGUUUGCGAUCGAUUUGGUUAUGCAUACCAAAGAAAGGCAAUUAGCGGUUGAUUUGGCCGCUGAAAGGGAGAAGACGAGAUUGGCUCGUAGACACCCGAUGCGUUCUCCGGAGAACUCCAGACAUUAUAAGUUCGGUAUGACUGCUAAGGCAAUGUUACCGAACAUCAACGCUAUAGACGUUGGUGAUAACGAAGACACUUCGUCGGAAUACCCAGUGAGUCUGAGUGUUUCAGGCGGAGUUCUCCGUGAACACCACUUCAUCUGAUUGAAGUGGACGGAAUAAGUUCCUUGCGGAACUUUAUGUCGGGUUGGUAAAAACCCUUAUGAUGGUGAUGUAUCACUAGACAAUAACCGGAUGGGUAAAGUCUUUAAAAUGAUCGAGGGGAAAAUUAACCAUAUCCUCUCGUUGGUCUAAGCUCCCACAGAGUGUAGUGGUCUCAAGUGAGGCUUAACGUAUGCGUGAACCAAAGAAGUUCUCCUUAGAGUGUGUGUUGUUUACCCAACACACUGUCCCUAUGGGGGGCCAACAUAGGUCCAU